AAGUUGGGAUUAAACUAUAGUGGUUGAAACUUAAAGCUAGUUUAAAACAAGUUAAAAAGUGGUUAAAGGUUGCGCUCGUUGUAAAAGAUGCACACAAGUCGAUCGCGGUUGUUUCGGCGCUCGAGUCGAUCGUGGUCCCCGUGGUCUCUCUUUGAACUCGAUCGAAACGGUUGUGCGUAAUGUAAACAUCCUUGUGCGGAAGUGGUGAUGCAAAACCAUGUAACGUAUGGAGAUCUGUCUUGUAUAGGGUAUCGGCAGGUAUUCCCGGCAUACCCCUUUAAAUCCGCAAUUGCAUCUCGGAAUACUAUCCAAAAUCGUCCAAAGCUCCCUUUUACGGAGUCUCCACCGGAUGCAUUACCAUUUAUGUGUGUCCCUGCACUAAUACGGAAGGAUCAUUUUUGCAACGAUGCUGAACUAAGUCGGCUAAACUCAAAUCGUUUUCAUACCGAGUCCUGUUAUAUGUGCU